GAUGAACGCUGGCGGCGUGCCUAAUACAUGCAAGUCGAGCGAACAGACGAGGAGCUUGCUCCUCUGACGUUAGCGGCGGACGGGUGAGUAACACGUGGAUAACCUACCUAUAAGACUGGGAUAACUUCGGGAAACCGGAGCUAAUACCGGAUAAUAUAUUGAACCGCAUGGUUCAAUAGUGAAAGACGGUUUUGCUGUCACUUAUAGAUGGAUCCGCGCCGCUUUAGCUAGUUGGUAAGUUAACGGCUUACCAAGGCGACGAUGCGUAGCCGACCUGAGAGGGUGAUCGGCCACACUGGAACUGAGACACGGUCCAGACUCCUACGGGAGGCAGCAGUAGGGAAUCUUACGCAAUGGGCGAAAGCCUGACGGAGCAACGCCGCGUGAGUGAUGAAGGUCUUCGGAUCGUAAAACUCUGUUAUUAGGGAAAAACAAAUGUGUAAGUAACUAUGCACGUCUUGACGGUACCUAAUCAGAAAGCCACGGCUAACUACGUG
rnacentral:rRNA from 1 species